AACCGCGAUCGGAAAAUCUAAAAGCUCAUUCUAGUAGACUUAAUUACUGUGUGCUUGUUUUUACAAAGCCAAGAACUCACCAGUAAUCUGACGCGUACAGAAACACGCAACCUAUUUGAUGAACAGUACAAAUUAUACAGACGCAGAUUAGAAAUACAUCUCUACAGUAUGUUUACUACAUUAUGUAUCUAUUUUUAAAAAAACAAUGGGAGAAAGGAACUCCCACGAAAGAUUAAUUGGCAAUGUGACAACAAAACAGUGUCAUCAUCAUGGCAAGCCCGAACUAUGUGCACCUUCGGGAACGGAAUAUGCAGAGCCUUGCCAGCGUAUGAACGAUUUGCACCUAUCUGAGCAUUCGGA
rnacentral:sRNA from 1 species